ACUACACCUGAGUUUAUGUUCAUGUGGUGACUUUUUGGAAAACACCUGAGACUGGGUGCUGGUUGUUUCAGAAACCAACCUAUAUUGGAAGGUUGGAGCUUCAGCCCCGUCCCCCAACCUUGGGAGAGGGGAGAGGGCCUGGGAAGUUGAGUUCAAUCACCAAUGGAGAAUGAUUUAGUUCAGCCACCAUUAUGCCUACAUAAUGAAGGGGUUUGGAGAGCUCCGAGGCUGGUGGAGGGGCUGGGAGGGUGGCGCACCUGGAGAGGGCAUGGAAGCUCUGGGCUCCUUCCCACAUUCCUUGCCCCAAGCUCCUCUCCCAUCUUGCUGUGUCUGAGGCAUGUCCUUUUCUAAGGAACUGAUAGUCUAGUAGGGAAACUGUUCCUGAGUUCUGUGAGCUGCUGUAGCAAAUCAAUCAAACGGGACGAUGGGUUCGUGGGAACCUCCAAUCUGUAACCGGAUCGGAUGGGAUCAGAAGCACCGCUGACAGCCUGGACUUGUAACUGGCAUUUGAAAGGGACGGGGCAGCCUUUUGGGACUAAGCCCUUAACCUGUGGGAUCUGCUGCUAUCUCCAGCUGAUCCUGAGGGUCUAGCUUCCCUUUCUACAAAGGCCAGGUUAGCUUUGCUUCCAGAAGUUUCCUGGAUGAAGGGGAAAUUAUUUGCAUUUUUCUCCUGGGAGCUGCUUCAAACCCUGGAACGGGCUGGAUCUUUCUGUAACAAAGAAAAUGAAGAGGAAAAAAACCCUGUAGUUUCCAUAUCAAACCAGAUGUUGCUGUCCUAACCCUGGUACCUGGGAAUGUGACCUUAUUUGGAAAUACGGUCUUUGCAGAUGGUCAAGGUAAGAUGAGGUCAUUAGGGUGGGCUCUAGUCCAGUAUGAAUGGUGUCCCUAUAAAAAGGGAAAUUUGAACACAGAGACAGACGCACACAGAGGAAAGACUGUCUAAAAACACAGGGAGAAAAGAAGGCAUCAACAAGCCGAGGAGAGCUCUAGGCUACAGAAGCCGGGAGAGAACCUGGGACAGACUCUCCCUCAGGGCCCCAGAAGCAACCAGUCCUGCUGACACCUUGAUCUCCAACUCCCAGCCUCCAGGACUCUGAGACAAUAAAUGUGUCAUUUAAGUAGUUUCUUACAGCAGCCCCAGGAAACCAACCGGACACCCUACCUGAAUUUGCUUACUUGCUCUAGUCUAUCAAAUGCAAAAGUACUUAUGGAGGAAGUACUAUGUGCUCUCCCUUACUGAGCUUCACGGGGAGUGCUGAAGGAGCAGCAGACAGGAAGAGGAAGAGACCAGGACGCACCUCACCCGAGGGAGCUGAGAGAGUG